UGCCCGCACACGCGCAGUGGGAGGGCCAGCUUCGACCAAAGGAAGCUGGGCUCCUGGAGGUGGGGGGCAGAGGAGGCGGGAUGGGAGAGGGAAGGAAGGGGUGAAAGGCACGCCUACCUUCCUCUCCUCAGGUUCCCCAGGGCCCAGAGGUCCGGUCACUUCUCUCGCCGCUACCCCCGCCACCCCUAACACCGGUGUGGCGGCCCUAGUUGCCGGUGACACGUGGGCACGCCAGGCACCUCUGUGGUCCCCCAUUUGGACCCGGGUGGCUGGGAACGAAAUCAGAUGCGGGGGAGGGAAGACAUCGGUGAGGCAGGGGCGAGGAGGAGCCCCGAGUCCUGCUUGGAGCCGUGGCUGUGGCAACUGAAACCUGUGGACCCUGAGAUUGCUGCCUCCCCUAGUCAUGGGCAGAGGAGGCCUGCUCCCUGGCGACGCACCCCAGGGGCCCCUGCCUCUCUCUAUUCCUUCCAGCCGUCUGUUGAAUGCCCCCACCCCACUAGUCCCCCUCCACCUAUUGCCUCCAAUCAACCACCCUCUUUAAGGUACCUGGGCAAUGCCCUCGCGGACAAGGCUGUGGUUGGAGAGCGCUUCUUUCUCAUUAGCCUACCUGUUGCCUGGCACCUUCCUCCUCAGACAGGGGGUUGACACUUCUCAGAAGACUUCCAGGACCAGAGGCUCUUUCCUUACUAGUCGUCUCGCUUACAAUGUCUCGGUCCAGGUGGCAGGGACAGCUAGCCUCCCUUUGACAAAGCACACAAGCCAUAUGGUAUUCCUUUCCUCCGCCCAGACAUCUGUCUCCUCAUAGUCAGGGCCGUGGAAUACCUUCCUUUGAUGUGGGUAGAGCAGGCUCUUUCUAGCUGCACAUUUUAGGGGAUUCUGUCCCUUUCUGGAAACAUUGAUACUUUCUCCUCUUGUCCACGGGCCUGUCCAAGUUGAGCCUGGACACGGAGGGCCCUACCUGAAUUGUGGGCACCAGUUUGGCAGGCACUUUCCUUUUUUUUCCUGGGUGUAUUCUAUGUCAAAGGAGCUCGUGUAGCCAGGGCUCUUUUUCUAUUACUGGCCAUUUUUAGAGUCUAUCUCCAGGUAACUGUAACCCUGAGUGCCUUUUUAGAAAAGACCCGGAAAAGAGAAAGGACAGAUGUUGCUAAUAUUCCUGUUAUUUGCAUGUGUUUACAUCAUGAGUUGCCUAUGUUCUGACUUUCUCUUAAAUGGUUCUUAGCAACCUCUGUAGUCUCCUAAGGCUUUUCUGUCUCAGCUUUUCAGAAUUUCUCCAUGAGAAAUGUCCUUGGCAUCAGGAAGAAUGGCUGCCACCUACAUAAAGGGCACAUUCCAGGGUGCUGGAAUUUAAGGAAGGCAGUUCCGCAUGCUGUUUUGUUUUCUCUGGCUUUCUUGUUUUUCUCCCUGACCUGUGCUUUCCUUCUCCAUGCACAUGCUGCCUGAUAGAGUUGAUAUGUCUUACAUUUCACUGGUUUGUGGGGUGGGUGGCAGUGAAGAAGGAUUGGUGAAGCCAGACCCUUCCCACUGCCUCUUUCCCUCCUACCUACUGUUUACCUGUUCAUUCAGCAAGUCUUGACAUGUCUGUGUUUAGUGGAGUUUCUUUACAGGAAAUAUUAAAAUCUUUAUUUUUAUAUAUGAUCUUUUACAGAAGAAUUAGGUUCAGAAUUAGAUUCCAUAUAUAUACUUGAUCUUGAAAGAUGUAUUUUCAAAACAGGCAAAGUAGAAGCUAUUUAUUCUAGUCAUUUAGUGGGGAGAACUUACAUGAAGAGAAUAUCAGAGUUGAGGGGCCAUUCUGGUGGCACAGCAGUUAAGUGCGCACCUUCUGCUUCGGCGGCCUGCGGUUCACCGCUUGGGAUCCCGGGUGCGGACAUGGCACUGCUUGUUGGCUAACAUCGCAGUUGGCAUCAGAAAUGGGAUUCGUUAGAAGCACCCUGACUUACUAAAACAUGUGGUUUGAGAAGAGGAAAGAGAAGGAGGUUGACUUAUGAUGACGUAUUUUAAGUGGAGAUUCCAGGAGGAUCCACGUCACGGAGUUGUGAGGGGUGACUGAGAGAAGUCGUGGAGAGCGUGAAGCACAGGAACGGGCCCACAGGAAGUGCCCAAGAAAUGGAAGCUUUAUACCGUCAUUGUCAACGAGAAAAGCAAAAAGCCCACUUUUCCUGCAAAAAGAAAUCGUAUAUUUAUACAAAUCCUAUUGUUAUACUUAUUAUUUAUGGUCAAUUCUAAAGACAUAAAACAUUACCGUAUUGGUGUCAAACGUGAAUUUUAUUUCUAUGUCUUUAUUAAAAUACAAACAAAAAUAAAUGCAUUUGUCAGCUGAGAAAGGGGGAUGUUUGAUAGUCAGUGGGCUGCACAAGGCCCUUGUUUUAUUUUACAUUACCAUGGCCGUCUCAGAGUAACCUCAGCUGAUGUGAUAUUUUGUGAGAUUGUUUAUGUCCAACAGGAGAGCAUGGCCCAGCAGUGAACACAAGACCUGUUUCCAAAUAUUAGGGGAUUUUCUUUCUCAGGCCUCAUC
ensembl:lncRNA